UACGUAGGGGGCAAGCGUUAUCCGGAAUUACUGGGUGUAAAGGGAGAGUAGGCGGCAUGGUAAGUUAGAUAUGAAAGCCCGGGGCUUAACCUCGGGAUUGCAUUUAAAACUAUCAAGCUAGAGUACAGGAGAGGUAAGUGGAAUUCCUAGUGUAGCGGUGAAAUGCGAAGAUAUUAGGAAGAACACCAGUGGCGAAGGCGACUUACUGGACUGAAACUGACGCUGAGGCUCGAAAGCGUGGGGAGCGAACAGGAUUAGAUACCCUGGUAGUCCACGCCGUAAACGAUGAGUGCUAGGUGUCGGGGGGGAACCCUCGGUGCCGCAGCUAACGCAAUAAGCACUCCACCUGGGGAGUACGACCGCAAGGUUGAA
rnacentral:rRNA from 1 species